rnacentral:rRNA from 1 species
GUGGGGAAUAUUGGGCAAUGGGGGAAACCCUGACCCAGCGACGCCGCGUGAGGGAAGAAGGCCUUAGGGUCGUAAACCUCUGUUGUGUGGGAAGAAGAGCGUGACGGUACCACACGAGGAAGUCCCGGCUAACUACGUGCCAGCAGCCGCGGUAAUACGUAGGGGACGAGCGUUGUCCGGAUUUACUGGGCGUAAAGGGCGCGUAGGCGGUCAUUUAAGUCAGCUGUGAAAUGGUUUGGCUUAACCGGAUCAUGGGGUGGAAACUGGAUGACUGGAGUGCUGGAGAGGCAAGUGGAAUUCCCAGUGUAGCGGUGAAAUGCGUAGAUAUUGGGAAGAACACCGGUGGCGAAGGCGACUUGCUGGCCAGCAACUGACGCUGAGGCGCGAAAGCCAGGGGAGCAAACGGGAUUAGAAACCCGGGUAGUCC